rnacentral:rRNA from 1 species
GACGAACGCUGGCGGCGUGCUUAACACAUGCAAGUCGAACGGUAAGGCCCUUCGGGGUACACGAGUGGCGAACGGGUGAGUAACACGUGGGUGAUCUGCCCUGCACUUCGGGAUAAGCCUGGGAAACUGGGUCUAAUACCGGAUAGGACCAUGGACUUCACGGUUUGUGGUGGAAAGCUUUUGCGGUGUGGGAUGGGCCCGCGGCCUAUCAGCUUGUUGGUGGGGUAAUGGCCUACCAAGGCGACGACGGGUAGCCGGCCCUGAGAGGGUGUCCGGCCACACUGGGACUGAGAUACGGCCCAGACUCCUACGGGAGGCAGCAGUGGGAAUAUUGCACAAUGGGCGCAAGCCUGAUGCAGCGACGCCGCGUGAGGGAUGACGGCCUC